rnacentral:rRNA from 14 species
AUACCAGGACAUACCACCCUUAACAUACUUAGUUUCAGAAGCUAAGCCAGGUCAGUCUGGCUAGUGCUUGGAUAGGAUACUGUCUUGGAAUAUCAGGUUUUUAUA